GGGCCUGUAGCUCAGUGGUAGAGCGGUCGGCUCAUAACCGAUUGGUCACAGGUUCGAACCCNGUCGGGCCCA
rnacentral:tRNA from 1 species